rnacentral:rRNA from 1 species
AACGAACGCUGGCGGCAGGCUUAACACAUGCAAGUCGAACGCCCCGCAAGGGGAGUGGCAGACGGGUGAGUAACGCGUGGGAACGUACCCUUCGCUUCGGAAUAGCCCCGGGAAACUGGGUGUAAUACCGGAUACGCCGUAUUGGGAAAGAUUUAUCGGCGAAGGAUCGGCCCGCGUUGGAUUAGCUAGUUGGUGGGGGCAUGGCCUACCAAGGCGCCGAUCCAUAGCUGGUCUGAGAGGAUGAUCAGCCACACUGGGACUGAUACACGGCCCAGACUCCUACGGGAGGCAGCAGUGGGGAAUCUUGGACAAUGGGGGCAACCCUGAUCCAGCCAUGCCGCGUGAGUGAAGAAGGCCUUAGGGUUGUAAAACUCUUUCGCCGGUGAAGAUAAUGACGGUAACCGGAGAAGAAGCCCCGGCUAACUUCGUGCCAGCCGCCGCGGUAA